UCCACACAACAAUUGAAAAGCAAACAUAAUUUCCUUUUUGAAUAAGAUUAUAUGAAUUGCUAACCCUCGUCAACUUAAACAUAGGAGAAUGCCCACUAGCCCUAAUUUAAGAAUUUUAUUCCUACUAACAAAAUCAAAUUUUAAAAUUUCCAAGAGCCAACUUAAACAGCAGAAAGACAAAUAUACCCUUAAUGAAUUAAAUAAACUACAAUAGACCAGAGCAGAAAUACAAUUAUACCUUUAAUAAAUUAAAUAAACUACAAUAUAUAGACCAUUAUAAGAGUCUAUUAUAAAAUAAAUUUUUUAUGACCGGAUUUCCACGACCAAUGACAUUGACCGGACUCUGGCAACCUUUGACCGAGCUCCGGGCACCAUUGACCGGACUCCGGGAGCCGAUGACGGGACUCCGAGGACCGUUGACCGUGCUCUUGGGAUCGUUGACGUGACUCCGGAGGCCGUUGUGCUUUAGUCACUUAUAACAUAUCCCUAUUUGGGGCAAUAUGCCCACCUACUGGGGUCAGUAGGACCUCCUACUAGGGGCAAUAGGACCAUCUAGUGGGGCAGUAGGACCUCCUACUGGGGCAGUAUGACCCUUGAACUUAACCGUGUGCUUCAGUCACUUAUAACAGGGCCCUAUUGGGGCAAUAUGACCACCUAUUGGGGGCAGUAGGACCUCCUAUUAGGGGCAGUGUGACCUUUGAACUUAACUGUGUGCUUCAGUCACUUAUAAUAGGUCUCUAUUGGGGUCAGUAGGACCUCCUACUAGGGGCAGUAUGACACUUGAACUUAACUGUGUGCUUCAAUCACUUAUAACAGGUCCCUAUUAGGGGCAGUAUGACCAUCUAUUGGAGUCAGUAGAAACAUUUCCUAUUAGGAAAAAAUCUAAAAUUAAAGAAGUUGGAGACAAACAAGAACUAGAAUCAAGCCAAUAAAGAAAAAAUCACGGCCAAUGUAUAUUCAAAGUCAUUACUAAUAUUCCACAUAAAACAAAUUGUUAUCAAUCAUAGGGUAGUAACUAGCUACUUUCCUUGGGGGCUUAAGGAAAUUGCAAGUGAUCAUCUCAAAGCACCGAUAAUCUUAUAGAUGCAUGUACUCAUAUUUACACCUACCGGUUCACUACUUCAAGUCAUUAAUUCACAAACAUAUCUCAAUAUGCACAUAUACAACCAGUAAAUGACUAUAACACGAAAUCUACAAAUAAAUUCAACCUUGAAUUUAACAGUAUAAUAGGUGUAGGAGAGGCCUUAAAAGUUUUCACAGCCAAGCUUGGAAAUAAAGAUAAAUUGAGGCUAAAAUCACCACGCAGUUGGUUGAUUUCUCUUGGUGCUAGAGAGGCUGUUUCACAGCCACCCCCUCAAUCCCCAAUAACUCUGGCAUUAGUAGAGGCCUAGGUCGUCAGUCAUCGGCAUCAGAGUGAAGCAUAUCGGUGCCGGACAUGUUGAGGCCUCAAGAUCGAAGCCCAUAUAGAGGAAGAGCACGGGUCGACGACGUCGAUCUGGUCCUCCGUUGAGGGAUCGUUGGCUUUCCCGGCGGUGUCAUCGUCGGGGCUUUGUAAGCAGAGUUGUCGUUGAGCGUUGUGGGGUUGAGAGAGAGAGAGAGAGAGAGAGAGAGAGAGAGAGAGAGAC
rnacentral:lncRNA from 1 species